UGUCAUUAAGAAAUUUCUCAGAAACUGAGAAACUUUAGGCCUGCUUACCUUCUAAUAAACUUGGAAAAAAGUUUUGAGAAAGAAUGGUAAUUCACUGUGUCACUGUGACCUCAAAAAUAUUACUCCUAUCACCAAUUUGGAUUUUAGUUCAGGCAUAAAACACAGCAUGCUCUCAGCUUCCUCUACAGCACCGAGAACAACCGACUUAACGUCAACAAUAAACCAACGGUGGAAAUGAACAUUAAAUUUAAAAAAGGCUUUCGACUCUAUAUGGGUGAACGGACUUAUCUAUAAAUUAACAGAAAACAAGAUUUGCAUCCCAAUGAUUAACAAUAAGUUUCUUAAAAGUUAGGAAAUUCUUUGUCAGCGUGAAAAAUGAAACUUCCGCAAGGAUCUGUUUCCGGUCAUAUAUAACAUUUUCACGGCUAGCGUCCCGAACCCUGACAUCGGCACCCAUCUGAUCAAAUUUACCGAUGAUCUUGCUCGGGACUUUUCCUUAGAACCUCAAUCCCAACUAUGCAGCUAGAUCCACCGAGAAAUAUUUGGUUGACCUCUGCUACCACAUCAAGAUACUUUGCCUUUAGAUCCAUCCACAAGGAAGCUAACAGCUUCAAACUCAAAAUUGGGAACACCAUGUUGAACCGAUCAAAAUGGAUCAAAUACUUUGGAAUUAAACUAAAUAAACUCCUAAAAUUCAAUCACCACCUUGAGCUCGCAAAUAAGGCACACGAUGUACUAUCUUUUUCAAAAGAAAAUAGGUCUUAGCACCGAAACCUAACUGAUCCUCUACAAAUCCCUCAUACAACCACUUAUACAAUAUAUUAUAUUAUAUAUAUGAGAGCCCCCUACGUGGAUCACAUGCUCAACGAAAGCUAUGGUCGUCAAAUCACAUUUCAUUAUGUACACCCUAACCAGGGCCGUAGAAAGAAAAUCCGGGGUAAAAAUUAUCUGAAUCUGGGGUGAAAAUUAUACGGGCCCCUGGUUUUCAUAAAAAUGUGUGUAUCAGCCCCCCAACAAAAUUCCGGGCUCUGAGGGAAUCCCCCUUUCCACCCCCUCUCGUCAGGCCCGACCAUAACUGCAGCAGAUCAAACGCAACAGUCUCGUCUCCUUCGCUGCGAAGCGACAUUCGUUAUCUGUAAUAGCAGCCUAGCACUUAGAACCGUACAGGGCGACCGACGCUGCGAUGAAUUUUGGAUUUAAGGUGCAUGUAGAUUUUGCAAUGUGAACCUGUCAUCUGUGGCACUCAACCUACGAGGGUUUAUUAUAAACAAGCGUUAUGGCAAACAUUGAAUAAUAAGAGAACGUCAUUAAAUAUAUAUUUUAUAGUUUUUCAUGUUAUCUAUGUUAUCUUCUAUAGAAAAAAAUUUAUAGCUUCAUGGAAAAUUAAUCACAGCAAAACAGAUAUGUUUGAAUCGAAUGGAAGAUACAAGUAAAAACUAUAAAUAAAUAAAAAACGAAAAAAGGUAAAAUAGGAAAGGAAAGUAAGAUACAAUUUUACCCAGCCAUGCUUUCUACAAAAGUAGAAUGUGGACUGUAAUCAGUAUAUUGGAGAUCAUCCAAUGAAUGCAUAUCUCACCGCUGCGAUAAAACUAAAGAACAUUGCAAUAGUCCCGGUCUAGAAAUAAAAAUUUGGUGAAAGUUGGGUUUAUCCCUUGAUAUAUAUACGAUGAUCAAAAGGUUAAAAUCAGAGCAACUGGUUCUAUGAUAAUUAUAAGCUAGCAAUGAAAACAACUGAAGACCACGGACAAAUACUGCUCCAUCAGCAGAGAUGGAACCGUCCAUGCCAUUCGUCCCUUCAUGAUCAUGAAGCGUCGAGAGUCGAUACCGAAUUGGACCAAUAUGGAGGUGACCAAUUACAUCAAGCAAUUCCACAGCUUAUGCUUCAGGUUUGGACAGCGAAUUAAUGCCUCAUGAUUGGCAACGGGGCAUCAUCUGUUCCGUAGAGAAAAAGGGGUGCGCUUCAUUCGCUAGAAGCUUCAAGGGAGUCACUCCCGUAGUGUUACACACUGCCUCAUCCAAUAUUGUCCUACAUCCGCUGCACAGCUUAAGCGCAAUUGACCGUCAUGUCGAACUCACCCUUCUCCGGUUCACCAUGCUAUCUAGUACCCCCCGGUCAGACAGGAAGCACUGCUAUACGUGAUGGAUCACACUACCCCUACAGCAACCUUCAAUUUUAGGUAGUACUUUUUCUAGAGAUGAACUAGCCUUUGCUGCAUUGCUAAAGUUGGCGUCGAUCAUUACCUCCAAGUAUUUAUUAAACGUUUUUGAAACGACUUUAUGGGUUGCUACCCCGGUUUUCAACAGUAUUGCUUUCCCUGCGACUUUUAAUGAGGAACCCCUCCUUCUUUUCAUCGACCAGAUACCAUUCAUAACCAUGUUUUGACGGAUUGAAUGAUUUCAUUUGCAUAGAGUUCAUGUCCUCGGGAUUCUUCGCAAUUACAAUCACCACCAAGUUGUCUGCAAAAUGCACAAACUUUGGCUCGCGAAGGCCAAAGACGCUGUCGUACAUUAUGUUCCACAGCUGGAGUUCCAAUACACAGCCGUUUGGAACACCUGCCAUCACAACCUAUUCUUUCGGAACGUGAUCCGUCUCGUUCCAAAGAAGUCUCUCCCAAAUGUAACUCUCGAUUAUCCGAGCUAAGUAACCAGGGACACCCAGUUUAGCCAAGGUGCUCUUAACACAAACCCAGUUGGCCGAAAUAAAGGUCACAACCGCGCAACACUUAUCAAUAGCCGACGAUUCCCAAGUCAAAUAGAUCCACGACCAUGAACAUCACAUCGAUCCUAGAAUGGGCCCGUAAAAACCCAUGUUAGCAGGUAGCCUAUCGUAUGCAAACUUCUCCAAUAUCUUUCCCAUUGUGUCAAGAAGACGUAUAGGGCGACAUCAAGGGGGUGCGCCAGACGAUUUUUGGGCCGGCUCCAAGGGUGGAACAAGAUACAAAACCGGGAUGUAUGGGGUUCUUUACUAAGGUUGACCUAGAUCGGAUAACAAAUAAUGUUGAUAUUUCCUGGGAAUUGGAACUUAAAAAUAUAUUCAAAGUACUCCUUGCUUGUGUCCCGAUGACUUAAUGGUCAGAGCACUAGGUUAUCGCAAUGGAGGGUCGCGGUUCAGAUAUGGAAGUCGGAUACUAGUCAACUCAGAUGUGAAUAGUCACAGUAAAAUGAAGAUAAUAUCGACAGUUUUUAUUAUUCCGUUUGUUAUGAGAGGUGAGUAAAAAGGAUAGAAACUGCAACUGAAAAGUCAGCAACCCCUCAGAUACGGACAAACCUCACAGAUACGACCUUUGAUUAUUGAAAACUGAUAACUAAUUUCUAAAAUGGACAUACAACUGUAUCGAGGACUGCCAUAAUGCCCCCUUUCUCCAAUUGGGGCAAGAAUUUCGGCGAUAUCAGGGGAUCCAAGUGAAAUAAGAUGGUGACCCUCUCCUUCUCACGCGAUCAGCAGUAAAUUUAGGGUUUAUCUUCUGAAUGUGAGUAAUACAAGAUUGAAAUCGGCCUCGAAACCAUCAUUUUUUCCCCUUUUAGUACUGAUGAAGUCGACUUGUUAACACUGAUCAAGGGAACAAAUGGUUCCCGAAAUAUCGGUGUUUGCAACCAUAACAAAUAUCACUAGCGAAUAGAAAAAUACAAAUCUUACUUAUUUCAAACAAGGUUUUCAGUCUUGCGGAGCAUUGCACUCUGCUUUAAUAGGCAAAGCGUUGAAGGCAUUAAUUAAUUUAUAUAUCUCGAUAGCGUUGUCCCUGGAGACGGCAUUUUCGCUAUUUUGCCCGAAGUUUAGAAAUGCAAUUAUCUGAAUACCAAGAUCAAGUUUUAUUCGUUUCUCGUCAGUGUUUUCUCUGCCUUACUUUAUGGGAAUAGAGGUGAGGCAGCGUCUGCCGAUUUGCCUCUGGCCUGGUAAGAAACCAUAAAGCCGUCAUCGCCUAAUAUUUUUAAAGUUUGGGUGCUAAGCCCUAAACGAGGGGUCCGUGGACCAAAAAAAGGAAGAAUUAAGUUGCCCCCCAUUUGGUCCGAUGUGGCAUCAAGUGGAUGCGGACUUAGAACCCCGCAAUUCUUAAAAAAAGAGCUUCAGGAUUUGCAUUUUAUUAAACUUCAUCCCACAAUCGAAGUCCUCUUUAUGAGUGUUGGAUUUCGUAGAUGAAACUGAAAAAUACGCAAAAUUGCCGGAAAUGGGAAAUUUUGGUGAAAAAUUCAAUCACCUUCUUUUUCAUUAUAUUCGAUGGAUCCUUAUUCUCGAUAAAACAAUUAAGGUUAUAUGGUUGCUAUUCACCAUUCUGGAGUAUAGCGCGUCAACCAGAUCUACGCGUCAUCGUUCGCGGUGCGCUGAAAUGCACUUUAGCCCCCGCCACAACUUCCCGAGAUGCCCGCACUCCUCCUUUACUGUUCUACGCCAAGUGCUCUUGGGGCGAUCCACUCAUCGUCCAUCCCAGGAGAGCAAGUUGCACUAUAUGGUGUAGCCAGCAAUGGAAUUAUCGCCCGUCCAUAAUGGGCGACCUAUCCAUGUGAUAAGCCUGUGCGUCAACCAAAUUGUUUGCUUGAAAUAGUAUGAGGCCAGCGUACUCCGAUAAUAGGACACAAACAGGUAUUGAUGAAAGUUUGGAGCCUUCGAGUAACUGAGGAGUGACUUUUUAUCUGCUAUUCUAUUGCUAAAUGAACGCUGACACAGAGCAGUCUCAAUUUGAUCUUAGUGUUGAGAUAUGUUGAGAUAAGUACAUUUCCAGAUUUUGGAUAAGGCAGGGAAAGCGGAUCUAGCGUCGUCAAUGCGUCGGCCAACAUCAAAUUCCGUGUCACCGUCGACAUAAUCCACGCUUCUUAGAUAUUUAAAUUGAUCGACGCCUUCAACGCUCUGCCAAUUAAUCCAAAUAGACAGACCGAUCACCAAUCAAACUGAACAUCUUGGUUUUCUUGGUAUUUACCUUCAAUUCAACUCUACUCGCCUCUCUUUCCAAAUCUAGAACCAUCUGACCAAAGCCUAUGCACCGGUGAAAGAGUAAACAAAUAUAAUCAGUGUAGUCGGGUUGUUUCAGGAAAGACGUUAUAGGCCAUUGAACUCCUGCAAAUUCUCCGGAUAAGGCAGCAUGAAAACGUCAUCAAGAAAUAAUGUCGGUGACAAGUAACCAAGCAACCAACCCGCUUUCGACCUCAAAUUCAUCUGAGAUUUUACCUCGAUGCAAUACGUGAAGUUUUGCGAUAUCUUAUUCCCCCUGAUAAUAGCUAUCUGUUUCUCCGGGACGCAGAGACUGCAGUAGCAGCGAUAAAUAACUCUGCGGGAAGAUCUUCGAGCUCAGCGGCUUUACUUCAUUUGAGUGCAUUGCCGAAAUGAUUUUUCUGCUCUCUGGAGAUGCAAUCCGUAUCUCUAUGUUACCAUGACUCGCUAUUUCACUGGAUAUGAUACAGUUAAGAACCGUCGUCAAUGUUCUUUCAACCUCUUCAGCUACUCAUCAACGUAAACACUAAUGCGUCACGCAUACCAACCCUUCCAAAGGUGAAUAGAGCAUUUAAUCCUUUCCUCUUAUCGAUCGGCUUCCACGAUUCUGCAGUCAACCAGAUGUUAUGACGCCCUUUCGGGAGGUGGCCGACGACCUGAGUAACUCCCAAGAAAAGAGCAUGAUGGCGGCCCAAUGUUCAUCUAUAUUCUCAGGCGGGUUACUCAGAGUGUUUGCCGUCCCAUCAGCAAGCUAUCUUACUUCCAUUGUCGGAUGACAGCUGUAUUCUCUUGAAUCUUGCAGUCAGAAUUCUAAUCAGAUCAAAUGAAGGCGAUUUGCGGUAGCAGCUAGUAAUAAUCCGACAACGGAUUCGCGUCUGCAACCAUUUGGCUUUCCAGAGCACAAAAGCACAUUACCAUUGGUUUGGGAACAGGGAAGGCCGUACUCGUCAGAAUCCCACCAUCGUACUUCGCUUAGACCCAGAAUGUCCAGAUUAUAUCUUUGGAAUUCUCGAGUUGGAGAAAACCAGCAUCCUGGAACCUUCGAUACCAUUGACGAGAAAGGUGUGCACAUUUCAGAAACCAAUCGUAACUAUUAAGUCAGUCCCUAUCUGAGAUUUUGUUGACGUUUUGCAGGGUACUAGCCCACAAAUUGCUGAACCUCUUAGCUGUCUUUUACGAUAAGUAGAAGAAGCUUUGAAUGUAUUUUGAAACCCCAACUCGCUGGGCUACGAAUUUUGGGUGCAUAACAAUUACUACGCAUAGAGCAAGACAAGCGAUCAUUCAUAUCUCUGCUGUUGAAAGAAUUACUGACAGCUUCGAAUUUUUAUCAAUUGGUCUAGCGCUUGUUUCUGAAGGUGAUAUCGCGGAGUUUCAUGCCAUUGGUCCAUUCACAGUACGUAGCCGAGCUACUACUUGAAAAACAAAAAAGGUUUUUUGGUAUAUCGAAAGCGCGAACCUGAACGCCAUUGUGAAUUCGCCUUUGCAGCUGCAUUGAAUGGCCGCGGAAACAGCUGAUGACCUGACAAGAGACUGGGGUGACAAAUGUCAAGAACGACAUUUGUCAAUCCUGAGAGUCGAAUAUUGUCGCCGGUCUGUAGGCAGCUGUAAUGUAAAAGCUAAAAAACUUAUUAAACUAAAAUACUUUUGAAUUUUGUUUUUAUUCAACUACUGUGGUUGUUGCGAUUAUUUAUAAAUAAAUUAGUUAAGUUAAUUAAAAACGCAUCUGUCAAUAUAUUGAUGAAACAGUUCCCAGUUUCAUGUUAAGGAUUAAUAACUUAACAUCCGCGUCAACGCGAAACGACCAUAGCAACGCCAGCCGUAUAAUUAACAGGAGCUUUUAGGCUACCGUGGGAUCAACACAAAAUGACGCUAUCAACAGCAAAAGUCGGCUC
rnacentral:lncRNA from 1 species